rnacentral:rRNA from 1 species
UCGUCCUCGGGAGGCAGCAGUGGGGGAUAUUGCACAAUGGGGGGAACCCUGAUGCAGCGACGCCGCGUGGGUGAAGGAGCGUUUCGGCGCGUAAAGCCCUAUCGGCAGGGAAGAAGAUGACGGUACCUGACCAAGAAGCCCCGGCUAACUACGUGCCAGCAGCCGCGGUAAUACGUAGGUGGCAAGCGUUAUCCGGAUUUAUUGGGUGUAAAGGGCGUGUAGGCGGGAGCGCAA